rnacentral:misc_RNA from 1 species
CCUGCAGCACAGGGCCCAUCCAGCGAUGGUGCGUUUCUUUCUUAUACUUUCUUUUCUAUUUAAUUUGAUUGGGAUGAAAUUUAUUGGUCUUUCUCCUAAUAUAGAUUUCUGGGUUGACUGCUGUUCUUGUUGCAGGCAAGGCUAUUGAUCAAGGAAUUGCUUACAUCCUGCUGCUAGUGGCUCUUGCAGUCACCUACCUCUUCCACUGAUUUCUUUUAUACAUUUAUUCAUUUUUCCUUUAAAAUUCUUCAUGCGUUUUCUCCCCCCACAUUUACUUGGAGAAAUUGCAGCCAUUUUGUAUCUAUUAUAAAUUCUUGUAAUUUAUAGAAAAAAAAUAAAGAUUAUUAUUUUUUUCUCUAGCCCAAA